UACAGAGGUGGCGACCGUUGUUCGGAAUCACUGGGCAUAAAGCGCGUGUAGGCGGCAUUGUAAGUCGGGUGUGAAAUCCCUCGGCCUAACCGAGGAAUUGCGCCCGAAACUACUUUGCUUGAGGGCUGGAGGGGAGCCUGGAAUUCCUGGUGGAGCGGUGAAAUGCGUUGAUAUCAGGAGGAACACCGGCGGCGAAGGCGAGGCUCUGGCCAGUUACUGACGCUGAGACGCGAAAGCUAGGGGAGCAAACGGG
rnacentral:rRNA from 1 species